rnacentral:lncRNA from 1 species
UUAGAGAAGCUGAAACACCAAUGAUUGAAGGAUUUAGAUGAGAAUCUGACAAACGCCACAACAAAUAGUUGAUAAGUUAAUCGAGAUUCCUGGUGCAAUUGAUGAAAGCAAAUCCUCACUCUCACUCAAAGCAAUACACGCCAAAGGCAUGAAAAUAAUUCUGAUAAUUUGAUUUCAAAGCUGUCUCUUACAAUUGUUUCUUAUCCUUAUAUAGUAAGGAGAAAAAACAAUUAAAACCCUAGGACACUCUUCUUGGGCCUGACUUAAACACAUAAGGCCCAAGCCCAAUCACAUACUAAAAUAACACAUAAGUAUUAAAACAUAAGCCCAAAACAUGGCCCAACACUCUAAAACUUAAAAGAUAAAAUAUGGCCAGAAUACAAGCCCAAACAAAACUAAAAUAAAACAAGUGUUUAAAUAAUAAAACUAGCAAGCCCAUCAUAACAAAGUUGAAUCUUCACAAAAGCCAUUCUUGAUCUUCACUUUAGGCUUUCCUUUAUGUAGUUUUAGCCCAUAGGUUUGAUUAGGCUCCCUCAGCCUAUGAUUGCAAAUGUUGCACCAAAUCUGUCCCAUAUGAGUUAAAGCACGCCCUAAAUAUAUAUGGAUUAUAUGAAUAUGAUUUUGAACUACUCUUGGAUCCAUUGGAAUGAUAUAAGUUUGCUCCACACCAUUGUUAGAAAUU